GAUGAACGCUGGCGGCGUGCUUAACACAUGCAAGUCGAACGGUGAACACGGAGCUUGCUCUGUGGGAUCAGUGGCGAACGGGUGAGUAACACGUGAGCAACCUGCCCCUGACUCUGGGAUAAGCGCUGGAAACGGCGUCUAAUACUGGAUAUGUGACGUGACCGCAUGGUCUGCGUUUGGAAAGAUUUUUCGGUUGGGGAUGGGCUCGCGGCCUAUCAGCUUGUUGGUGAGGUAAUGGCACACCAAGGCGUCGACGGGUAGCCGGCCUGAGAGGGUGACCGGCCACACUGGGCCUGAGACACGGCCCAGACUCCUACGGGAGGCAGCAGUGGGGAAUAUUGCACAAUGGGCGCAAGCCUGAUGCAGCAACGCCGCGUGAGGGAUGACGGCCUUCGGGUUGUAAACCUCUUUUAGCAGGGAAGAAGCGAAAGUGACGGUACCUGCAGAAAAAGCGCCGGCUAACUACGUG
rnacentral:rRNA from 1 species